UACGGAGGGGGCUAGCGUUGUUCGGAAUUACUGGGCGUAAAGCGCGCGUAGGCGGCUUUGUAAGUUAGAGGUGAAAGCCCGGAGCUCAACUCCGGAACUGCCUUUAAGACUGCAUCGCUAGAAUUGUGGAGAGGUGAGUGGAAUUGGGGGUGUAGCGGUGGAAUGCGUAGAGAUCCCCAAGAACACCAGUUGCGAAGGCGGCUGACUGGACACAUAUUGACGGCUGAGGCUCGAAAGCAUGGGGAGCAAACAGG
rnacentral:rRNA from 1 species